rnacentral:lncRNA from 1 species
UUCAACAAGGGUGAACAAAUGCCCAAAUUCCCUUCCAAUGAACUCUGGUCUAAAUUCUGGAAUAUACUACUCAUUGGAAGGCGUCCCACGAGCCUGUUGUAGGAUAUAUUAACAGCCAGAAGAUUUUCUAACUUGCCAAGUUCUUGUGGUAUUUCACCACUCAAUUGGUUAUACUCUAGCUUCAAAAUCUUGAGCUUCUUCAACAUUGAAAGGGACCUUGGUAUUGAGCCACUUAAAUUAUUAUGUGACAAACUCCUGCAUUUAACAAAUUUGACCUUCAAUUCAAGAACUAUAGGAAAAUAAACAAAGCAUAAGUGAUACAGAACCUCAUUUUCAGAUUAACAUGUCCCUUUCUACCUCUCUAUAAAAGCAUUGUUUGUUCCAAUAUUUUUUUGGCUACUAUAGCAACAUGUUGUAAUAGAUAACAUAUAAUAUAACAUAACAUGAAAUACUAUAAUGAGAUAAUCUGAAUAAAUAUACUUACAACAAGUAGAGGGAUGAACAAUUUCCAAUCUCAUCAGGAAUAGGUCCAGUGAAUGAAUUUCCAUCAAGCUGAAGAAUUCCCAAGCUACCAGAAUCACAUAUAUCACCAGGAAUUGAUCCAACUAAAGCACUGUGUCGAAGAUCCAACACCGUUAGAUUCUGAAAGUAUCCAACCUCAGGAGGCAAUCUUGAUUGAAAAUUGUUCCAAGAAAGAUUCAAGUAUCUCAGCUUGGAGAAGAGUCCCACUUCAGCUGGGAUAUUCCCAGUAAGAUUGUUUCCUGAUAGAUCAAGAACUUGAAGUGAUUCAAAGAAUUUACCAGAACCAGGAGGGAUUGAACCAGUUAACUCAUUUCUUGAGAAAUCUGCUUCUUCCAAUCCUAUACCAAACAAUCCUUCAGGAAUGCUACCAGUAAAUGCAUUUUCUUUUAUCCGAAUAGUCGAUAAACUAGUACAAUACACCAUAGACUUUGGAAUGUUUCCACUCAAUUUGUUACCAGAUAAACUCAAGUACUUCAGCAUUUUCAAAUCCCCUAUAGAAUCAGGCAAUGCCCCUUCUAAACUAUUGCCUGAAAGAUCCAAGUACUCCAAGCUGCUCAUGUUACUUAUCCAUUGAGGGAAAUCUCCAUUUAUCAUAUUGUUUGAUAAACUGAGAAAAGAAAGAGCAUUCACCUUUUGAAGUGACAUUGGAAUUUGUCCUGUGAAUUGAUUAUUACUCAAAUCUAAUCUAUUCAAAUGUGGACAAUAUCCAAUAUCAGCUGGUAAAUCUCCACUGAAAUGAUUCCCUUGUAACAAACACUCUUUCAACUGAUGUAAAACUGAAACACCAAUUGGUACUAAUCCAGAGAGUUCAUUAUGUGAAAGAUCUAAUGUUCUAAGCCUUGUCAAUCCCCAUAUUCCCUCGGAAAAUCCAGGGUCACCAGAAAAAUGGUUUCUUGAAAGAUUGAGAUGGUUCAAACUAGUACAUUUUGAAACUGUUUUAGGAAAUGAACCUUCAAGAUAAUUCCCGGAUAGAGAAAGAUAACGUAACGAAUCACUACAGUUAUCAAACAUGGUAUCAGAGACAGGUCCAGAUAACGCAUUCUCAGAGAGAUCAAGAAACUGUAAAGAUGUCAUUUUCGAAAAAGAUCCAGGGAUAUUCCCUGAUAAGCCAUUAUGACUAAAGUUGAGAUUUUCAAGAUUUGUCAACAAGGCUAACUCAGGGCUAAUUGCACCAGUAAAGUUGUUGUUUGACAAAGAUAGUACCUUUAGAGAUUGCAACUUCUCGAGCCCCCUACCGAUCUUUCCUGAUAAACUUAAACCAUUUAAGUUGAGCUCAUUGACUCUACCAUUCAUUGGAUUGCAUUUGAUGUAUUCCCAUGCACAAGGAGAGUUAUCAUCUUCACUCCAUGAUAAGAGUUUUGAGUAAGGAUCAAGAAGAGCUGAUUUGAACACAAUGAGGCCUAAAACAUCAUCAUUAAGCUGCAUAGUAGUAUCAUCAGCUAAUAAAGAUCCAUACAAUAAGCCAAAAUGAAGUAUUAGAACUAAAAAAAGAUUAAAAGAUCUCAUUUUUAUGAUGGUGUUUUUAGUUCCUACAACAAGAGAAGCAAACAAAUGUUUUUCUCAGAGUAGUUAGAGAAGGGAAUGGAAAUGAAAAAGGGAAAAAAUGUGAAUUUUAGGUAAUGGAGUACAAGUUUCAUUGGAUGAAUGUUGAGUUUGGGAUUAUUGUUAGAUAUUCAUGUGUACAAGGUGGAAAGGAAAAUGAAGUAACUGUAUUUCACAAGAGUGAUAAUAGAUAGAGAAAUAAAGACUAAGAAUGGUAGUGUAGUGGACUUGUGAGUUUUGUGGUGGUCCUUGUGAGUUAAAGGAGUGAUAAAGAAAAGUUUUUUUUUCCUCUUUCCUUUUUGGUUUCUAGUCCCCCAUCACCCCCACCUAUAUUUGGAUUCUUGGAAAAAGAGAGAAAGUGGAGUGAGAGUAGGGUAAGGGUUGGGGAGAGUAAGAGUUGGAUCAGUAUUUUCACACAAGGUGGAGUAAGGUUGCGUACACACUAUUAUCUGCAGAUUAUACAAGGUAGGAGUAAGGUUGCGUACACACUAUUAUCUGCAGAUUAUACUUAUGUUGUUGACGGUAUAAAGCAAGAAUGUGCAUUGUAUCUACUAUUAUAGUUAAGUUUAAGGGUAUGUACAUACUAGACUUUCCAAGAUUUGUUGUUGACCGUAUAAAGUAGAAGGUAAAUUAUAUUUAUUAUUAGAGUGUUAAGUCAGUGUACACGCUAUUCACUUCAAAUUUCACUGAAUAUAUUGUUGACCGCAAACACACUUACAAUUAAUAAUCAAAUCUCACUGAUAUGUUGUUGACCGUAUAAAGUAAGAAGGUAAAUUAUAUUUAUUAUUAGAGUGUUAAGUCAGUGUACACGCUAUUCACUUCAAAUUUCACUUAAUAUAUUGUUGACCGCAAACACACUUACAAUUAAUUAUCAAAUCUCACUGAUAUGUUGUUGACCGUAUAAAAUAAGAAUUUAUAUUUACUAUUAGAGUUUUAAGACCGCGUACACACUACGCUCUCUAGAUCGCACUAGAUAUUUUGUUGACCGUAUAAAAUAAGAAUCUAAAUGAUAUGUACUAUUACAAUGUUAAGGUCACAUACACACUAUCUUCUCUAGACCCACUGAAUAUGACGUCGUUGACCGUAUAUAAUAAGAAGGUAAGUUAUAUCUAUUAUUAGAGUGUUAAGAUCAUAUAUACAUUACCCUCACCAAACUUCAUUAAUGCAUUAUACUAAAUAUAUAAUUAUUGAUCAAAGAAAAUAAGAAUAUCAGUUGUAUAUAUUAUUAGAGUGUAAGGACUUUAUAUCAUCAUCAAUUUACUUAGAGUAAAAAAAAAUAUUUAUACUAAUGAUGUAUGUAUAGAUUAAACUUAGUAUUUAAAUUGUCAUAUCACCUGCUAUCACAAAGAUAAAUUUAAUACACUUUUUGUAUAUAUAUAUAUAAGUUUCUAAAUCCUAGUUCAAGUUGAUUUUUCUAGUAUAACUCAAAUAGUACUAUGUACAUUAAUAAUUUAUUUACUUUUUUCUGUAUAUCUUCAGAUUGUUAAACAUAUAUAUAUAUAUAUAUAUAUAUAUAUAUCACGUCAAGAGAAAAAACAAACAUUAACAUGUGUUACAUAAACCAUAUAUCUAAGAUUCAUAUUACAAUAAUAGGAACAGACAAAAUUAUAACUUAUAACAAAGAAGUAAAAUUUGAAAUUUGAAAUUCAAUACAUGACUUAAGAAAAAUGAAAAUACAAAAACUCAUUGGAUUGUGGAUAUGUAGUUCAAGAAAGCACAGAGAAUGUAUAGAUAUGAUUUCUUCGACGUUAAUCAAAAGUUCUCGAUUUAAGUUUUGAGACUGGACUUUCAUGUGUAAUAGGCUUUACAUUGAUACGAAUUUAAAUUAAUUAGUAUCCUAAAGAAAAAUAUGAUCAACAUGAUAUGAAUUUAAAUUUGAUAUUUCAAUAUAUUGUACGCUCUCUAUAAUGGAUUUUAAUCUUUCAUAGGACAUGAAUUUUUCUUUAAGACCUUAAAACAAAUAUCAAAAUUUCUAUUCAAUGAAUUUUAUAUAAUAUGAUUUUAAUUUAAUCUGAAUUUAAACAUUAAAUAUGAAACCAACCGACAAAAGAAAAAGAUGAAUGUAAUUGGAAAAUAUAUAACUAUUUUUAUAAGAUAAAGUUUGAAAUAAAAAAGGAAAGAUAAAUGGAAUCUAAUGAGAAUGUUAUGGUUGUUUGUACAAAAAAAAGACACCAAGCUGUGAAAAAAUGAUGAGACAAUCAACAAUAUGGUCCAAUGUGACACAUUUCCCCACAAAUUCCCAAAGACUUGUUAUUUUCACUCUUUUUAUCUUCUUUUUUUUUUUUAUAAUUUUAUAAUUAAAAAAAACUUUUAUUUUUGUAUUAUUAUUUAGGGCUUCUCAACCAUGUGUCGUUUGUCACAUCAUCUAUUACUUUGUCAUUUCAUUUUCUCUGUCAAUAAUUUUUCAAAAAAUAUGAAAAUACAAAAUCAUUUCAUUUGUUGUGUUUCACAUCCAAGAAUAUUUUAUUUUUUGAUCUACUUGCACUUUUUAGAGCAUAUUUCGAUGAAAUAAACAAUUUUACACUUUCUAAAACAUGUUAUUUGUCGUGAUUAAACUUUUUGACCAUCAGUUAAUAUCUAUUUGAAAGAUGAUGUUAUAUAAAUAAUUUUAAUAAAAUACACUUUACAUAAUCACAAGAAACAAAUGAAGAUCACGGGUGCAACUUAAAAUUUUGACUGUGAUAGUAGGUCCCAUGUUUUGUUCUUUUGUCAUUAUCAUCUUUGUCUUAAAAUUAUAAAUUAAUACUUUUAAAAAUAAUUCGUAAUUUGAAGUUUGUUAUUUGGUGUUUAAUAUUUGUAUUAAGACAUAAUUUAUAUAUAGCUUUGAACAGUAGUAAUUUUAUAUAUUAAAAGUAAAGAGCAUUCAACUUCAUACUUGAAGUUAGGAUUUGAUCAAAUUCAAAAUAAUCUCUGAUUAAAAUAUUUUAUUAUUUCAUCUCAAAUUUUGUUAAUUACCUCAAAUGACUCCUACGUGAACUUUAAGCUUUAUGAUUUAUGCAUAUGAUAUAUUAUUAGUUGUUUUUUCCUUUAAUUUCGAAUUUAUUUACCUCAAAAGAAUGUAUUUGUUGUCCGAUAGUUCGAUGUUUGAUUCUCCAAUUUACUGGGGUUAUUAUUAUUAUAUAUAUACAAUAUUUCUUUAGUCUCUAAGCUUUAUUAAUGUAACUGUUUUAUCUGUCUAGUAUUAUUUUUUUAAAUUCAUUUUACCAAUUAUGUAGCUUUUGAUAAAGAGGCAAACUUUAUAAUACACUUUGUAGUCCGAUUUACGUUUUUUUUGUUGAUAUUAUAUGAAGGUGAACACACAAGUUUAAUUAACUAGUAUAAUAUAGAUAAUUGUAAACUUUUAUAAUAAUAAAAAAAAAUAGUAGUUGAAAAGUAACAUUUGAAAGACAAUUAUUCAUGUGUGUGUUCAUUAUUUCAAACCUCAAACUCAUGGCAAAUUUAAACGUCAAUUUAAAACGAAUUCAUGUAUGCUCAGUUAUAAUACAUUAUUAUAAUAUUAAUUAUUAACUUAAAAUCGUUACAAAAAUUUAUAUAUAUUAAAUUAGUGACAGAACAUCACAAUAUGUUGUUACUAUGAAAUGCGUAGUUAAUUUCAAUUUUUUUUGUUCUCUUAAUGUAACGGUGAUAUAUAUGUGUGUGUGAGGGCUUAAUAUAAUAUAAUUAGUGAAGGAUUAUUGUUAGGUUCCUAUAUAUAAAAUUAAAUUUUGUUAGCUACGAACAAAAUAACGAUGAGUGAUUGUGUGACAUAAGGAUUAUUCGUAGGUUCCUAGCUGCUAUACAGGCAGAAUCUAAGAGUGAUGGGUUGUUGUAUAUAUGAUUAAGAUUUGAAGAAUGAAGAAUGGGUAUCUUGUGACUCAUUUUCAUUUCUCAUCUGUGAGUUUUUGUCAGCUUCGAUCUACACAAUACCUCAUCACAUGCACCUCAAUAUCCCCCGCACAACAUCAAUCAAACCGUUUGCGUGAUAAAUUUUUGAUUAUAAUCGCAAAUAUAUUACGAUAUUAAAGAAUAUUUGUGACUAGCGAGAGUAUUUAUUUUCUUCAUUCGAGCAUAAUAUUUAAUUUUUUUGUGAAUAACUAAGUAUAUACCCAGGAAUAUAUGGCAUAUAACUAAUCUUUGUGUUGAUUUUAAGUUUUUGCUUAAAGGAAAAAAGAUUAACAAGUGUCAUGUAGGUUUUUGUUUGUUAAUUAUGUUUAGCUCUAACAUUAUCAUACUUUUAUAUUUGUUUGUUUUACAUAAAUAUUCAAACAUGUAUGAAAAUGGAAAUGAUUUUUUCUUCCAACUUUACCCCUAUAUUCUGAUAAUGCCUUGUGGCAACACUCCACUUUAGUUUUGGCUUUAAUUGAUUUCUUGUUUGGAUGUGGUAUGUGUGGACACCCUCAAUUUUGGCUCAAUCCUUGCUUGAUCAAUGAAACUUUUUGUUUUGCAAGAUCUGUUAAGAUUAAGGGCUUGAGACAUUUUGCUAACACAACAAGUGAAUGGGAUUAAUACAUUCAUUCAAAUCUAUUUAAUUCGAUUUUUGUAAAAUAUUAUGUCUUUGUUACUAGCGCGAAAGUAUAAUGAAAUCUUAAUACAUUUCAAGCAAAUGAACAUUUUGCUAAUUAAUAUAUUUAUUUUUAUAGAGGAAAAAAAAAUUUAAAAAAUUCCAUUUUCAGUAGCAUACAAGACAAGAAAAAAAAAGUAGAAUAUAAAGUUUUGGAGUAAAGAAUUAGAAAUUAAAGUACACAGAACUUUAAGGUUAAGAUUCGUCUUGUACAAAUCAUCAGAGGUACUUCAAAUGCAUAUAGACACCAAGGCAAAGACAAGAAUAUAUUACAUUAGGUCACUAAAAAUAUUUUUUCUUUUUUCAAUUUCUUGAUUUUUUUUUUUGUUUUCUUGUUUAAUUUAGGUUAAAAGUUUUCCAAAUAAAUCAUUAUUAUCGGAUUAAUAAUAAUUCACUAUUGCACGUUAUUAAAGCGUAUAAAGAGGUUCUACCCUUCUCUAUUGUGAAAUAUGAAAUGAUUUUCCACUCAUUCAAAUAACAAGUUUAUGGAGAAUAUUCUAUUGAAAUUCGAACAAAAGCUUUGAUGCAAUUUAAGUUGACAAAUCGGAAGCAAAGAGGAAAAGGUUUCUAGAUUUUAAGGGCCAAGUCUUAUUUAGGGCCCAACCCAACAUCCUAAUGGGUCAUCUGCUGAAGAAAAUCUCAAAGGCCAUUCACAUAAAUGGGCCUACUUUUGGGGUGGUCUUUUGAGUUUUGCUUGUCUUUAAUUUUUAUAACCUUUGAUUGUUUUUAGUAAAGUAACAAGAAAUACUCCUUUAUAUAUGAAUCUAUGGCGCAAAAAAACCUAUUUCUAUUGCUUCUUCAAGUGUCGUAUCUUCGAUUUUGACAACCUAUUCGGUUUGCAUAAGCACAAGGAUCAAGAACCAACGGCUGAGUCCAAGUCUGAUUGUGCUCACCUCGACUAGUUCUACAAAAUAUAUGUCACCUGCCCACCAACAAAACAUAAGAUGAAGGACUAAAGGUUUUGGCGGACUUUCAUUCUGGUCUAAAUUAAGAAACAUACUAGGCACCCCCCACAAGCCUGUUGUAGGAUAUACUUACACCCAGAAGAUUUUACAACUUGCCAACUUCUUGAGGUAUUUCACCACUCAAUUGGUUAU